UGGAGCAAUCCAUGAGUAAAGUGGCGCACGGGUGAGUAACACGUGACUAACCUACCCUUGAGUGGGGGAUAACCUGGGGAAACCUUGGCUAAUACCGCAUAACACCUACGGGUCAAAGGAGCAAUUCGCUUAAGGAGGGGGUCGCGGCAGAUUAGCUAGUUGGCGGGGUAAUGGCCCACCAAGGCAGUGAUCUGUAUCCGGCCUGAGAGGGCGCACGGACACACUGGAACUGAAACACGGUCCAGACUCCUACGGGAGGCAGCAGUGGGGAAUUUUGCGCAAUGGGGGAAACCCUGACGCAGCAACGCCGCGUGGAGGAUGAAGUCCCUUGGGACGUAAACUCCUUUCGAUCGGGAAGAUAAUGACGGUACCGAGAGAAGAAGCCCCGGCUAACUUCGUGCCAGCAGCCGCGGUAAUACGAGGGGGGCGAGCGUUGUUCGGAAUUAUUGGGCGUAAAGGGUGCGUAGGCGGUUCGGUAAGUCUUAUGUGAAAUCUUCGGGCUCAACUCGAAGUCUGCAUGAGAAACUGCCGGGCUUGAGUGUGGGAGAGGUGAGUGGAAUUUCCGGUGUAGCGGUGAAAUGCGUAGAUAUCGGAAGGAACACCUGUGGCGAAAGCGGCUCACUGGACCACAACUGACGCUGAUGCACGAAAGCUAGGGGAGCAAACAGGAUUAGAUACCCUGGUAGUCCUAGCCCUAAACGAUGAUCGCUUGGUGUGACGGGUACCCAAUCCCGCCGUGCCGUANCUAACGCGUUAAGCGAUCCGCCUGGGGAGUACGGUCGCAAGGCUGAAACUC
rnacentral:rRNA from 1 species